rnacentral:rRNA from 1 species
UACAGAGGGGGCGAGCGUUGUUCGGAAUUACUGGGCGUAAAGGGCGCGUAGGCGGCCUGCUAAGUCGAACGUGAAAUCCCUGGGCUCAACCCAGGAACUGCGUCCGAUACUGGCAGGCUUGAAUCCGGGAGAGGGAUGCGGAAUUCCAGGUGUAGCGGUGAAAUGCGUAGAUAUCUGGAGGAACACCGGUGGCGAAGGCGGCAUCCUGGACCGGUAUUGACGCUGAGGCGCGAAAGCCAGGGGAGCAAACGGG